UUGACAUACUAAGAACUUCCAGAGAUGGAUUGGUGCCUUCGGGAACUUAGAUACAGGUGCUGCAUGGCUGUCGUCAGCUCGUGUCGUGAGAUGUUGGGUAAGUCCCGCAACGAGCGCAACCCUUUUCCUUAUUUGCCAGCGGGUUAAGCCGGGAACUUUAAGGAUACUGCCAGUGACAAACUGGAGGAAGGCGGGGACGACGUCAAGUCAUCAUGGCCCUUACGGCCAGGGCUACACACGUGCUACAAUGGUCGGUACAAAGGGUUGCUACCUCGCGAGAGGAUGCUAAUCUCAAAAAGCCGAUCGUAGUCCGGAUCGCAGUCUGCAACUCGACUGCGUGAAGUCGGAAUCGCUAGUAAUCGCGGAUCAGAAUGCCGCGGUGAAUACGUUCCCGGGCCUUGUACACACCGCCCGUCACACCAUGGGAGUUUGUUGCACCAGAAGUAGGUAGUCUAACCGCAAGGAGGACGCUUACCACGGUGUGGCCGAUGACUGGGGUGAAGUCGUAACAAGGUAAGCGUAGAUGA
rnacentral:rRNA from 1 species